rnacentral:lncRNA from 10 species
GCCGGCCAGCAUCCCGCUCCCUUUGACCCGCAGUCUGUGCGGGAAGUAGGCCCGGAGUGGUGCCAGCAGGAGGUGGCCUUAGAAAGGCGGAGACCCAAGGAGCAGAGUGAGUCGGCGUCCAGCUCCACCUGAAAGCGCCAUCUUGUCGCCACUUCCCUCAGGAGCAGAUCAAAAGGACCUAAUGAAAUGUUUGUGGAACCUGUGUAAAACAUGCUGCACAAAGAUGUAAAUAAAUCAACCCAUGAACUCCUAGUACCCUGACCGCAGCGUAUGUAAGAUCAAUAAAUAGCU